UGCCAAUGAUAAUAAAAUUAGUGCUUGGUUCUCAAAACAUUCACAGUUGCCACCUAAGAUCUUUUGCUUUGCCAGGGUUGAGAGAUAAUGUUGUUAGAUCCUUCUUUGAAUGUCUAAGGGA